UUCCUGCCGGCCCGAGACUAGAACCCACAACCCUUCGAUUGGGAGUCCGACUCUCUAACCAUUAGGCUACGACUUCCCACAUCGCAACCAUUGUCGGGGAUCUAUCUGGUCAAGAUUUGUAUCAAAAGAGCCCGAGGUCAGUCACAGACAGAGUCUGGAGGCACAGAGAUCAGCGAGCGCUAAAGAAGAGCAGCUGGAGGAGAUAUUGAGCUGGAUGAAGGAAAACAAAUCUGUGUUGAUUUGGCACACAAAGGUGUCAGUGACUGCUGCUGUCCUGCUGUUUCCACGUCUGUUAAAGGAGAGUCUGAGAUCUCUUUAUCUCAUCAGUGAGGAACCAGAUACACCCAACCCUGUGCUGUUUAUAAAGGGAUAUGCCUUGGAUGCGGAGUCUCUUUAAGAAAUAAUGAUGGAAGUGGAGGAGGAAGUCUGAACUAGACGAUGUGAACACAGCUCCAAUUAUUAUUAUUUGUUUUAUUAAUGU